rnacentral:lncRNA from 1 species
AAAAUCAAAGUAGUUGUUAAGCAUUAGAUAAAAGCAAAAGUGACCAACUACAGCAACUGAGCAAAUUAUAUCUGCAAAUGGAAGGAAAAAAAAUAGAGAGGAAUAGUGAUGAACAAGCAAGCAUAAAAGAUCAAUGCACAUGGUAACUCAGAUGGCUAUAGAAUACAACAUCUAAACACAAAUAUUUCCUUCUAACUAACAAAUAUGGGAUUUACCAAUGCCCUCUUCACCUAUUAAGAACGUGCUAGUUAUCUUCUUUUCAUGUCACACAACAACCACAACGGAGAUGGAUAUUUUUCAUCAUAAGAUUAUGGC